GACAGAGGGGGCAAGCGUUGCUCGGAAUUACUGGGCGUAAAGGGCGCGUAGGCGGGAUGGCAAGUCGGUCGUGAAAUCCCUCGGCUCAACUGAGGGUCGUCGAUCGAUACUGCUGUUCUUGAGGAUUGCAGAGGAGACUGGAAUUCCCGGUGUAGCGGUGAAAUGUGUAGAGAUCGGGAGGAACACCGGUGGCGAAGGCGGGUCUCUGGGCAAUUCCUGACGCUGAGGCACGAAAGCGUGGGGAGCAAAAGGG
rnacentral:rRNA from 1 species